rnacentral:rRNA from 1 species
UACAGAGGGUGCGAGCGUUAAUCGGAAUUACUGGGCGUAAAGCGUGCGUAGACGGUAGCGUAAGUCAGAUGUGAAAGCCCCGGGCUCAACCUGGGAAUUGCAUUUGAGACUGCUCUGCUCGGGUGCGGAAGAGGGAAGCGGAAUUUCCGGUGUAGCGGUGAAAUGCGUAGAUAUCGGAAGGAACACCAGUGGCGAAAGCGAACGUGCUGGACCUCUUCUGACGCUGAGGCGCGAAAGCCAGGGGAGCAAACGGG